AUUGAACGCUGGCGGCAUGCUUUACACAUGCAAGUCGAACGGUAACAGGCCUUCGGGUGCUGACGAGUGGCGAACGGGUGAGUAAUGCAUCGGAACGUGCCCAGAGGUGGGGGAUAACGCAGCGAAAGCUGUGCUAAUACCGCAUGUGAUCUGAGGAUGAAAGCGGGGGACCAGGCAGCAAUGUUUGGCCUCGCGCCUUUGGAGCGGCCGAUGUCAGAGUAGGUAGUUGGUGGGGUAAAGGCCUACCAAGCCGACGAUCUGUAGCUGGUCUGAGAGGACGACCAGCCUCACUGGGACUGAGACACGGCCCAGACUCCUACGGGAGGCAGCAGUGGGGAAUUUUGGACAAUGGGCGCAAGCCUGAUCCAGCAAUGCCGCGUGCGGGAAGAAGGCCUUCGGGUUGUAAACCGCUUUUGUACGGAACGAAAAGGCUCUGGCUAAUACCUGGGGCUGAUGACGGUACCGUAAGAAUAAGCACCGGCUAACUACGUG
rnacentral:rRNA from 1 species